UGGGCAUAUCUCGUUGCAACACCGGUUUCCGUACGAUUACCGAAGUUAAGCAACCCUGAGCCUGGUCAGUACCUAGAUGAGUGACUACUUGGAAAUAACAGGUGUUGUA